CAAUAGAGGCGUCUAAGAGGCUGUUAGAAAUCUGCGUAAAAAAGCAGAGGAUGGAAGGAUUUGGACCAUGUGCAGGUACAAGGACUAGUUUCAAUAGGUAUCAUUGGCUUCAAUAACGUUGUGUGGUGAAGAGCCUGCUCCUGUGCUGUACUGUUACACAGUACCGGGCAAAAGUCUUAGGCACAUGUACGUAGAUAGGGUACCUGAGGAUUUUGCACGGUACUGUAUUUGUCAACAUGGAGCAGAGAGCAAGUUUGUGAAUCUGGCAGGAGCAAAGGAUGUUGGGAAUAGCAAGGGGUAGAGUGCCCCGGGUGAGAUGUAGGACAGGUGGCAGAGAAGGCAUGCCGGUUGGAGGUAGGGGUCACCGUGGAGGUAGGGGUCACCGUGGGGUCACACAGCUGUGAGACACCGGUGAAGGUAAUUUAUUUCCAAGCAAUUUGAUAAAUGGUCAUCACCAGUAUGUCUCUCUGGUGCCUUUCACUCCUUUCCCUCUCUCCUCCUCUUUUACCAACUAUGAUUCCUCUCUCCCUGCCCCUUUUCAACCCUUAGUCCAGAGUAGAAACCCCAUAUCAGAAUCAAGUUUAUCAUCAGUCAAAUAUGUCAUGAUUUUUUUAAAAUUUUGUUUUUGUGGCAGUAAUACAGUGCAAUACAUAAAAUUACUACAGUACAGUGCAAAAACCAUAGGAUCCCUAGCUAUGUAUAUGUCCCUAAGACUUUUACACAGUGCUGUAUUUUCUAUGUUCUGUGUUCUAUCCCACAUGACUUUACUCAUUUCCAAUCUCUGUCUAUGCACACAAUGGUCUACCCUUUGAAUCCACCCACCGAAGUGCAUGAACUCAGAUUGUUCCAUAUUAAACUUAAACUUGGGGUGUUUACCAUGUCAUCAUUCAAAGGAUCUGCUGAACAUUCAGAUUUUUUAAUCACUCCUAAUGAUAAAUGGGUAUCUGUCAUUCAGUAACGUCUCUUCCUGUAUCCACGUGAAGCAAACAAUAUUGUCAAACUUUGAUCUGGCUCGUCAGUUUGAGCUCCAAGGGAUCUACCUCUACCAGCAGUGAUGGAGUAGUCUCUACAAAUCUCUUUGAUGCAUUGAAAAGUGGAGGGCCAGCACUUUUUGGACAUGAAUAGUUCAGAAAAAAAUCGAACUAGACUGGCACACAAUCAAAGCUCUCAAUGUAAUCAACAGGCAGCUGCAGCGCAAACGAUAGCACUAACCAGGAGAUGUCACAACUGUUUAAUGCUAAUGAAUGUGUUUGAGAAGGGUACUGGUAAAUUUAAAGGCAUGAAGGUCAGAAUUGAACUGGAUGAAGCAGCGACAGCAAUGUUCCAUGAAGCACGUCCAGUAUCUUACACAUUACGCCCUAAAGUGGAUGCUGAACUUCAAAGCUUGGAGGCAUCUGGAAUUUUCUCCAAGGUUGAGUGGAGUGAUUGGGCCACGCCCAUUGUCCCGAUGACCAAAAAUGGAAGGCUGAAGCAGUUCGCAUAUGCUUGGACCAAGGAGAGCAUGAACCCUGUGCUGUGUACUAUGCAGUAUCCCCUGCGAAGAAUAGAAGACAUUUUCAACCUUUGGCAUGUGAGAGACGUUUCCAAUGACUGACAAGCCAAUCUGCAAAUGGAGAUCGAGGAGUCAAGCAGAAAGUUCCUCACAGUCAACACUCACAGGGACUGUACCAGUGGAAUCAUCUCACCUUUGCCAUUACAUCAGCUCCAGCAAUUUGGCAAAGAGCAGUAGACCAAAUGCUCCAAGAUAUCCCAGGAACACAACGUUACCUUAAUGACAUCAUUGUAACUGGCAAGAAUGAUGAAGAGCACCUCCAAAACCUUAGUAAAGUGCUUACCAGGCUGAGUGAGUAUUGUCUGCGCACAAAGAGAGAAAAGUGUUAAUUUCUCAAGAACAAAAGCUCAUAUUGCGGACUUGUCAUUGACAAGCAUGGCUUAUGAAAGUCACAAGGGAAGAGUGAAGCAGUGCUGCAGGCACCCAAACUUGAACACAACUCAGGUCAUAUAUGGGCCUUGUAAACUACUACUACUGUUUUCUCCCAAACACUGCUACAGUGCAGCACCCAUUGAAUGCACUGUUGCAGACAGGAGCAAAGUGGGAAUGGUCAGAAAGUUGUAAAAGAGCACUCAAGGAAACAAAAAACCUAAAAACAUUAGAUGAACUGCUUACCUAUUAUGACCCAUCUCUCACUGGCAUGCGAUACUUCCCUUUAUGUUUUUGGAGCCAUGUUGUCACACACUGUGAAAGAUGAAUCUGAACUUCCAAUUCCAUUUGCUUCAAGAUCACCGAUGAGGGCAGAACGCAACUCUGCAUAGUAGACCAAGAGACCCUUAGUGUAGUAUGGGGCUAAGGAAGUUCCAUCACUACCUCUACGGACAAAAGUUUGCUCCAGUGACAGACCACCAGCCCCUUGUGCCCAUUUUUAAUUCCAGGAAGAGAAUCGCAGUGAUGUCUGCUACUCAGUUGCAAUGCUGAGCACAUUUUCUUGAAGCCCACUUUGAUGGUAUAGAGUUCUAGGGCACCAAACAACACAACAAUGCUUUCAGUUUGUCACAGCUUCUACUGUUGGCAACUGAGGAAGAAAAAGGCUUAAUUCUGUGACCCAGCAGAAGUGCUCAACAGAGCAUAGGUGGCCAGUCACAAAUUCUGAAAUACGAGGAGAAACAAGGAAUGGCCCAACAUUGUCAAAAGUCAAUGACAUCACUGUGCAAGAAUGGCCAGCUCAUGGUAAUCCUCUGUUUCCAAAGUUCUCAGUGAGAUGAAACCAACUGUCUGUAUGUCAAAGAAAACUGAUGUGUGAAUCUUGUGUUGUGGUUCCUUCUAAACUGCACACCAGACUGUUUUAGAAAAUUUCUAUGAAGGACACCAGGGUACAGUCAAGAUGAAGAACCUCACUUGGAGCUAAGUGUGGUGGCCAGGAGUAGUUGGACAGAUUGAAGGCUUGACCAAAAGCUGUUCAGGAUGCCACACAGUUCCAAAUGCACCCCAACAGUCACCGAUACACCCAUGGGAGUGGCCAUCUUCACCCUGGCAAAGAGUACAUAUUGACUUUACUGAGCCAUUCAUAGACUCCAUGUUUCUGAUUGCUGUAGAUGCUCAUUCAAAAUGGACUGAGGUCAUACCAAUGAGGUUAAUCACCUAUGUAAAGACUGCUUCCAUUCUGAGGACUAUCUUCUUCAGACAUGGCUCACCAGAACCAACUGUGAGUUACAAUGGACCACAUGUCAGAGUUCAGACUGUUCAUGAAGAAAAAUAGCACCUAACAUUUCAAGUCAGCUCCUCACCACUCAGCAACAAAUAGGUUAGCUGAAAGGUUGAUCCAAACAUUCCAGAAUCUAUUAAGGCUAUGGACAAGGAGGAUAUUUCUCUACAGCAUAAGGCGGACAGCUUCCUUUUUGUGUAUUGGAACUCUGUUCAUGCGACAACAAAUCAAACACCUACAAGCUGCUCAUGAACAGGAAUCUCAGAUCUCACAUAGACCUCCUGAAACCAGAUCUACAGAAGACAGUGCAGAAUAAAUAGUGUGACCCGCUGCCAAGUAAACCAGCUUUGAGAUUGGACAGGAAGUCCUAGUGCGCGAUUACCGAGAAGACAAGAGGGUGUCUGGUCGGAUAGCUGCAAGAACCGGACAACUGAUGUACAUUUGAGAAAGAAAACAUUGGUUACAUAAAGGAUUUACUUUGGAUCACUAAUUUUCAACAGAAAAUAAUUCUUUUCAAGAUCACAAUUAAUUCAUAAAGCUUCUGGUAACUAUGAUGAAUCUGCUGAUGAGAGCUGAUUGAGACUCCACAGAGGAAGUAGACUUUGGAAGUGAAACAUUGCUUCAUCAGUUCCUCCAGUCUGGGUGAUCUACACCUGCUGCCAUUGAGAAAUACAUUGCUUACUGAUUGACAAGCAGUCUUGGCUAACUGUGGUCCAUGUGAUAAUCACUGUGUGAAUUCAGCAGGGCUACAUUUGCAUGCCAGAUUUUAAAGAAUUGGAACAUGAUAUUUGAACACAUAAUUGAGUGAAUGGAAAUUCCUGCUUCAUUACUCUUGUGUUCACUGGGCUUAUUUUAUUUAGUGAGACAGCACGGUAACAUGCCCUCCUGGCCCAAUGAGCCUAUUUACACCCAUGUGCCAAAUUAACCCACUAACCUGUAUGGCUUUUGAAUGAGGGAAUAAACCAGAGCAGACAGAGGAAAUGCGCGAAGGUCACAGAGAGAAUGUACAAACUCCUUUCAGGCAGCGACAGAAUUAAACUCUGCUUGUUCACACUGUAGAACUACUACAUUACCAUGUCAGCACAUUUUCUGGGCAGCCUCUUCCCAAUGUUGAUAUACCUCAUUCUGGCACCUUUGGGGAAAAGAAUCUUUCAGUUUCUUUAACUAAGAUACCAAAAGCAGUAUAUAUAAUUAUGGUCACCCUCUCUCUACCUAUCUGAGCGUCCUUCACACCCAUUACAGCUGAAUAAUUUGAAGCUAUGACAUGCUUAAGUGCUCCUUUUAAAGUUAGAGUCCUAACAUCAAUUUUCAUAUAAGUCCACAGAUGAACAGUAUUUACUUACUAACAAAUGUUUACUCUGUGGUAAUAGAACAAAGAUAUUUUGCUUGUCUAUUUACCUGUGGACUCUGAUAAAGACGUGUGCUGGCAUGACUAGAAUAAAUAGAUGCUUGUUACCACUGAAUCCACAUUUGGUAAGGCUGUUUAAGGGUGGGAAAAUUCAUAGCCCACGAUGCUUUCUGCACUUCUCUCCUUUUUGUUGGAAAAACUUCUUUAUGUCCUGUAGUCCCAAGAGUAGAAAUUAAAGUUGACUUAAAGGUAAUGAAUUCUCUCUGGACUACUUUUUAUUCAUAGGAUGCCAAUGGAUCACAAGUGGAGAGAGUGAGCAGUGUCAAGUUCCUGGUUAUCAAUAUCACUGAUGACCUAACCUAGACCCAACAUAUCAUUGCAGCCAUAAAGAAGGCAAGACAGCUGCUAUAUUUCAUUAGGAGCUUGAGAGAUCUGCUGCAGAAAUUAAACUUGCAACAAAUGAAGUGCCAAGAAAAAGAAUUCCUUUGGGCAACUCAUCCGUGCUGGAAGUUCAGAAGCUCUAAUUGUCUCUUAUUGUUCAUCAGCUAUUUUAUCUGCAGCACCCUGGCCAGAAGACCAACCUAUUGUGCAGGGACCUCUCUUCUCAACCCAGUGAUGGCUGUGCAAAGCCAUUGAAUGGGACUCUUGUACGAUAACACAGACUCUUGACCUCAGAAUUGACAUUGGCAUGACAUUGCACCCUAUUGUUUGUCUGCCCUACACUUUCUCUGUAACUGUAACGUUUUAUUCAUUAUCUUAUUGUUGCUUUCCCCUUGUGGGACAUUGAUGCAGCAAUGUGAUGAAACCAUCUAUUUGGAUGGCAUGGAAAACAAGUUUUUUUUGCGAUACCUCAGUACAAGUCUCAAUAAUAAGCUGAUUUACCAUUUUGCCAAUUUAAAUAUAUCACACAUUAUGCCUCUGGAGGAGACAAUCCUCAGAUUUAUCAUUAUGCUUUCAUUGGGCUUAUUGAUUGCUGGUGUUUUUGGGGCAACACCUUUUUCCUUUUCUGGCCAGGUACAAGGUAUUAAUACAUUUAAGAAGGUAUUUCUAUGUCCGGUUAUACCCUAUUAGGAUCUGAAAGAAACCUCCAUACUGAUAUUAAUUUGUUCAAAAUUGAGAAUUGGUGGAGCUACUCUCAACUUGUGCCUUGUAGAUGGUGGGAAAUUCUGGGGAGUAAGAAGGACUCUCAAGCCUUUAGCUAUUGUAUUUAAAUGGAUAUUUCAGUCAAGUUUCUCAUCUUUAGUGGUCAACAACAUAUUUUGAUGAUGACAUUAUUGUUGAUCACCAAGGUAAGAUGAUUAAAUUUAUGUUGAUAAUGGCUACUCUCUGAACACAUAUUCCUUAUCACUUAGCAGUCCAUUUCUGAAUUGUGUCUAGAUCUUGUAUGAAGGCAUGAAUUACUUUAAUAUCUGUGAAGAAGCUCAAGUUCCUGGGCAUCAACAUCUCAGAAGAUCUAUCCUAAACCAAAAAUAUUGAUGUAAUCACAAAGAAGGCAUGUCAGCAACUAUACUUUGUUGGGAGUUUGAGGACAUGCUGAACAUGUCCCUACUUUAGAACUACCUAGGCUUUACCCAUAGCCCUCUAUUUUUCUAAGCUCCAUGUAGCCAUCCAGAGAGUCUCUUAAAAGACCCUAUCGUUUCCGCCUCCUCCACCACCACCAGCAGCCCAUUCCAUGCACUCACCACUCUCUAGGUAAAAAACUUACCCCUGUGAUCUCUUCUAUACCAACUUCCAAGCACCUUAUAAACUGUGCCCUCUUCAGCUAGCCAUUUCAGCCCUGGGAAGAAGACUCUGACUAUCCAUACAAUCAAAGCCUCUCAUCAUCUUAUACACCUCUAUCAGGUCACCUCUCAUCCUCCGUUGCUUCAAGUAAAAAAGACUGAGUUCACUUAACCUCUUCUCAUAAGGCAUGCUCCCCAUUCCAGACAAAAUCCUUGUAAAUCUCCUCUGCACCCUUUCUAUGGUUUUUGCAUCCUUCCUACAGGGAGAUGAUCAGAAAUGAACACAGUACUCCAAGUGGUGUCUGGCCAGGGUCCUAUAUAGCUGCAACAUUACCUCUCGGCUCCUGAACUUAAUCCCAUGAUUGAUGAAGGCCAAUGCACCAUAUGCUUUCUUAACCACAGAGUCAACCUGCGCAGCAGCUUUGGGUGUCCUAUGGACUCAGACCCCAAGACCCCUCUGAUCCUCCACACUGCCAAGAGUCUUACCAUUAAUACUACAUUCUGCCAUCAUAUUUGACCUACCAAAAUGAACCACCUCACACUUAUCUUGGUUGAACUCCAUCAGCCACUUCUCAGCCCAGUUUUGUAUCUUAUUAAUAUCCCGUUGUAACCUCUGACAGCCCACCACACUAUCCACAACAUCCCCAACCUUUGAGUCAUUGUUGUAACUUCUAGUCACUUUUUAUGUCUUGCACUAUACUGGUGCCACAAAAUAACAUAUUUCAUGUCACAAACACAAGAGGUUCUGCAGAUGCUGGAAAUCCAGAGUAACCGAUACAAAAUGCUGGAGGAACUGAUUUAAGGGAACGAAAAUACUCAAGGUUUCAGGCCGAGACCCUUCAUCUGUCCUGAAGAAAGGCUUCAGCCUGAAAUUUCAUGACAUACUCUUAUAAGCCUGAUUCUGAUAGUGAAAUGAACACUGUGAACAUCGCUAUUUCUCAGUGGAUGAAGGAAAUAUUAUAGUUAAAAAAAGUUGAAUAUGGUUAGCCUUCAUUCAAUAUCCUGAGAAAUUUUGCAGCAAGGCCCUGAUGUUCAGAUAAUAGAUGUAUACCAAUCAUAGUCAUUUCCCAUCUAGUGGCCAGUGUCCUCCCUGAUUCCUUUUGACUUUUAAACUGACUUUCUGGUCCAUUUAUCAGUCAAGUAGCCUUUGAAUGAUUAUUUUAGUGCCAUUCACCUUAUUCAGCUCUUUAUUUUCCACACGCGAGCUAUGGAGCUCAGGGUUCCUGGCAGAACCUCUGGUUGGUUAUUGGUGAGAAUUUUGUUGCUUGUUAGCUCAGUUGACAAUGCUUUCCAUUUUUUGCUGAUGACAAUAACAAUAGAACAUAUUGGACUUGUCCAGCCUUUCACGAACAGAGGUUACCAGGAAACUUUCGCACAUUUGUCAGAUAAAUUUAUCUGUUAUAUUUGGUGUUUCUAAAAUUCCUGAGACAAGCUAGAUAAAUGUAAUAUGUUUUUAUUGCUUUUUGUAAAUGAAUGGUGUCAACUUUUCUUUUAAUAAUUAUCCUCCAGAAAUAUAAUGCCAUUGCAUUGAAAUUAGGCUUCACCCUCUUUUUUUUGCUGUGCUAAAUAUGUGCUGCAUAUAGUAUAAUGCCUAUGUCAAAUUCCUGGCAAAAACAGUCAUAAAAUUGGUCAAAAUAAGUUAGAAAUGCCAUUGUGGUGGAUCAUAGCCUAAAUUUUGCAUUAAAGCUGAACUAGCACAAUUCCCAGCAGCGUCACACUCACUUUAGAUCAACAUGACAGAGCAGUUAUUCAUCAACUGAGGAAGCAUGGUUGGAAAUAAUUAGCAAAAGAUUCCCUUGCCUGUUUUUGGCCUGAUACUUAUGGAUUUCAUUGUGGAGCAUGAAAUAGAGUUAACAAUCACAUCAAAUAGUUUUCAAGGUUCAUUUUAUUGUCAAAGUAUGCAUGCACAAUGCAACUCUGAUAUCUAUCUUCUCCAGAUAGCCAUGAAAAUCAAAACACCAUGAAUAUGGCUUUCCACUAUUUGCAGAUUUUUAGUGUAGUCCCUAGAAAUCUCACCCUAUCAUUUAGGUGCCAUUUCAUUAUCAUACCUACCCCACCUUCACUCUGCAGAGAUAAGUAAGUGAACCUGUGUGACAGUUGUUAGUAUUGUUGUGGGUCAUACAAAGUUACUAAUGAAAUGUUGUUAGUGGUAUUAUCAUUAAAAUAUCCAUUGAUUGGGUAUCGAACAAGACUGUCAUAAUUGUUUCCUAUGAACUCUGAAAGGUGUUUCUGCAGCAUGCAGUCAGUCUGAAGCUGCCCAUUAAUGACAGUCAUGUCCCUAUAUCCUUAAAGAAGAAUUCAGCGAAGUAAUGGAAUGCAUUCUCAGCCCAAAGCAUCAACUGUUUAUUCCCCUCCACAGAUGCUGCCUGACUUGUUGAGUUCCAUCAGCAUUUUGUGUGCGUUGCUCAUGAUUUCCAGCAUCUGCAGAUUCUUUUGUGUUUAUGAGAAUGCACUCUGAAAUGUACUGUGCUUGUUCAAUAAAGGUCAAAGGUUGUAUCCAGAAGCUCUAAUUUAGGUAAAUAACAGGAAUAUGCAAUAUACAACUUGUAGUGCCUGUAAGUACUUGACAUCAAUGGAAACAUGCCACACAAAGAUGAAUUGAAAUAUUCUGGCCAAUUUCCCAAUAUAUACUGGUUUGCUCUGAAAUACUUUAUUAUCACCAAUCAAUUAAUACUAGAGCGUACAAUCAUCACAGUGAUAUUUGUUUCUGCGCUUCGCGCUCCCUGAAGUACAAAUCAAAGUAAAUAUAAUAAAAAUUUAAAUUAAAAAUCAUAAUUAGAAAAUAGAAAAGGGAAAGUAAGGUAGUGCAAGUCAGGUCCAGAUAUUUGGAAGGUACGGCCUAACACAGACACUAACACAGAAAAAAUUUGGGUUAAAUCAAGUUUAAUAGACAUGCAAGAAAAGCAGCUAUAUCCUUAGCAACAAAGUUAUGAUAUUUCAAAGAUGAGCAAUCUGAAGUACCUAUUGGAUUUUAUGAAAGACAAUAAAAUAUUUGCAAUCAAUAGUGCUUUCAUGUAAUUAUAUUGUAACUACCAAUAAUUAUGGCAGUAUCAAAUAAUCAAUGUAUUACAAAUUAUGUUCAGCUUUGUUCACUUAUAAAUAAGAAAUGUUUCUUCAGUUGAACAUUUUUUAACAAUAACACGAUGCGAUUUUUGAGAGUAAAUUAUUUUUCAAAUCUGCAUCUUAUAUGACACAUAUCUAUAUUUCCCUUUAAAUAUUCAGAGAGAAGCUCUUUAGGUAAGCUAUAAAGGGUUUUACAGCUUCAUGAUACUUGCCAACUUCAAAGAUUAAUUUGUAACAUAGCAACUGGAAAGAUAAUCCAUUAUUCUAAAGACAUUUUAUGGCAUACUGAAUGAAUACAUUUAUCAAAUUCAUUGGUGGAACCAAAAGUGACUGGUCUGCAAUUGCAAUACUUUGGAAAAACAUUGCUCUAUUGAUAGGUAAACGGUGUAUUUACUGUAUAUUGCCACUAUUUAUUAAUGCAAAAAGGUUUCUGCUUUAUAUCAAUCUAGUACUAAAAACACACUGCAGGAUGACUGACAUUACUUAAAAGAAAAUUUCAUGCAUUUUUCGUCGGGAAUGCAUGAAUAUAAGUUCACUGUGUUUGAGUUUGUAUCCAGACCAAUUUUUGGAGGAUAUAAGAAUUCGGUAUCAUUUCAUUGAUAAUUUCCCUUUUUUCAAGUAUAUGUGAAGUUAAAUUAAAUCAACAGACAAUUUUUCUUUAAUUGACAAAGUUGAUAUUUACAAGUGUAAUGAAAAGAUAUACUUGUGGCAGUAUCACAGACACAGAGUUAGCGACACAACCUUCACAUGGUACAAAUUUAUGCAAGAAAGAACACAAUUAGAACAAAAGGAGCACAUUUAGGUCUGAGCCAUCACAUGGACAGCUGGGCAGAGAACUAAUAAUAAACCACUUUGGUCUAUUUUUUCAGACCAGAAAUCUCAAACUUACUACACCCAUUUCUCAAUUAGUUCUCUUACCAAAAGACUGCUUAAUCCUCUCUUAAAGUUUCUGUUUUUCAACUGAAGUUGCCAUCUAUUCCGAGUGUAACCAAGUGAUCGCUGAAUAUAAUUUUUUUAUUGUUAAGGUGCACUUAAGUAUUUACCCUGGUAAUGCUAAAAUAGCUGCCUGUGCCUUUAAGAGAAAGCAGUGCCGACAGUUUGCAUGGGUGGAGUAGAACAAAGAUUCACCAUGUUCUAGAGAGAACAAUGUUCGAGGGCUUUUCCCAGGUUUGGUGAGGAAAGGUGAAUAAUAUUUAAUAAUAUCCAUGUAAAUUCAUUUAUACUUGUUUGUAAAUCUAGAAUAUUGGUAAUUUGACAUGUUAUACAUUUGGAUGCUUUAGAUUUUCGUGAGAAAAUUAAUCAGUGCUGGGUUGUGUGAUUGGGUGAUGUUCCUUACUGGUCUAUUAAGUUAGUCUUUUUAGUAAUUCAACCACAAGGCAAUAUAUUGUAAAAUGUCUUGUAAAAGUUAAUUUUUGUCUUUCUUUAUUGUUUCAUGACUAUAUGUGAAUAUGUUAAUCUUUGUUCACGUAACGUGAGUGAGGAGAACUUGUUUCAAAGUCUAUAUGUGUUCGGAAGAAAAGCAUGUGUGUGCCGAAAUGAGUAUAUCUUAGUUAAGAUGAGAUGUAUUUAUUCAUAUUUUUUAUGUUGUGUGUAAUGUACCGGGUUGGUGGGAUUCUAAUGUUGUUUGUAAUUUCAGAAUUGCCACUACCAUAUUGGUUUUGUAUAUUUUGUUUUAGUUAUUUUCAUACUGCAUAGGUAACAAGGGUGUGGUCCGAAAUUAAGCUGAGAUUGUAACAGCAAGAACUAUGUUUUUUUUAAAUCAAUGUCGUCAUUUUUAUUUUGAUACCCUGUUUCUGCAUUAAAACAUCUAAAGCAGCUGAAGGAAUUAAAGACCUGAAAAAGUA